AGAAAUGCAGAGAAGAGGAGGAGUAUCCCGCCGCUGGUUCUGACAGAGAGAAAACGGUCGGUGUAAGUUUUCGGACAGUGUGGGAGAAGGUAGCCUCGGAGCAGCACAGGGGAAGUUUCCGUGAGGACGGAAAUGGGUAGUCUGUGCCGGUUCGCACCCGUAACCGUGCAGGAUGAGUGCGGCAAGAUCGUUGCCGAAUUCAGGUGGUAACACGGACAGCAGACGGAAAAUUUCCCGGCUGAUUCGCCCUGAGC
rnacentral:ncRNA from 1 species